UUUAUUUGUAUUCUGAUACUAGUCAUCUGUAAAUAGCUGAUUUACUUUACUCAUGGUCUUUCAAUAGUCAAAAACAAGAAAUGAUGCUAGUGAAACUGAGCCUGAAGAAGUUUCAGAAAAGAAGAAGAAAAAAAAGAAAAAGAAGCCUAAAUCAAAUCCUGAAGAGGAAAAACCUCAAAAUGAAAGCUUUAUAGUACAGGAACCACCAAGGAUUGAGGAUGCUGAAGAGUUUCCUGACCUGGCAGCUGCUUCUGACCGAAAAAACAGGGUGGGGACUCAGAAAUCAUCCUAUGCUCCUGUUAGCAGAAGGCAGCCUGAAGUACAUCUUAACCAAAGAGUCCUGUGGACAGUCAUUGUCAAAAUGAUACAUCAACAUUGGGCGCUGUUGUAA
rnacentral:lncRNA from 1 species